AAGUCGUAACAAGGUUUCCGUAGGUGAACCUGCGGAAGGAUCAUUACAGAGUUCAUGCCCCUCGGGGUAGACCUCCCACCCUAUGUAUACCUUACCUUUGUUGCUUUGGCGGGCCGCCAUUUGGCCACCGGCUCCGGUCGGUGCGCGCCCGCCGGAGAACCCCAACUCUGUUUUUAUCAUGUUGUCUGAGCACUAUUUAAUAGUUAAAACUUUCAACAACGGAUCUCUUGGUUCUG
rnacentral:misc_RNA from 1 species